GGAUCUUUAACCUGCUGCACUACAAGGGAACUCCUCAUAAUUUUUCUUCUCGCCAGCCCCUCAAGGCCAUGCCAAGGGUCCUCCUGGUCCCCUGGACCUAACAGGCAACAGUGCGAGGGAGCAUCUGCAAGAGGAAGCAAGAGCAUCCCUUGUGGCGGGACCUACCUGCAGGAAUACUCUGUGAGCAGAUAAGCCUGCACACUUGAGAACCCUCAAAGCAGCAAAGCUUCCUGCCUGGGGCUAGAGGGGAGAUGGAGUCUAGCAAAGGGCGACAGCCAGGCUUACAUCCGGAAACAGCCCCCAGACCAUGCAUCCAUCCAUCCAUCCACAGGAGGGCAAGAGUGGACAUGCAGGAGCAGCGGGUGGACAGCAAGGCCAAUAUUCUAAAAAGUGCAGAGCCAUGGAGUUGCUACUGAGGAGACUUGACCCAUAGGACCUUUGCUUUCCAAAGCCUUAGUUUCUCAUCUGAAAAAAUGGAUCCAAGUCUCUGGUGGGGCAGGCUGUUGAGAGGCAUGAGUGCAGCCAUGUGCAUCACGCCCUUUAGAAGCUGUGAAAGGCUUCGCAAAUGCUGCUGUUUUCCACAUUUUGUUUUAUCUUUAAAAACAAAACAAAACAAAACACCUGUGGGUGCUGGGCAGUGGGUUCUGGGAACCUGGGGGCGGUGCCCAGAAGGGGAGUGGGUGACAGCUCUUCUUUACCUCUGCCUGGGCUCGGCCUAGCCUUCCCCCACCCUCAGCCCAGAACUGGUUUCUAGGCAACCGGAUGGAUGCAGGGAUGGUUCCGAGGGGAGAGAGAGCUAUAAAUAGGGAAGGGAGAAAACAAAAAUAAAGUUCCAGAGAAA